GCAACGGCUCUUUUUAGAGCCACACACUUGUCCUAACUGGGCCCUU
rfam:Tetraodon nigroviridis, WGS project CAAE01000000 data, contig: CNS0BSYC, chromosome: undetermined